GCCGCGUGGCGUGAAGAAGGCCUUCGGGNCGUAAANCCNUUUCGNUGGGAGAAGAAAGGCGUAAGGAGUGACUGGUCUAUCCUUGACCGGACCCACACAAGAAGACCCCGGUAACUCCCUGGCACCAGCCCCGGUAAUACCGAGGGGGCGAGAGUUGUUCCGAAUCACUGGGCGUAAAACGCACGUAAGCCGCGCGGGGAGUCAAGGGUCAAAGGCUACCGCUCUCACCGUGAGUAAGGUGCUUUGAUACUAUCAUGCUCUAGAGCCGGAGAGAGUAACACAAUUCCCUGUGUAGCGGGGAAAUGCCUAGAUAUAUGGGAGGAACACCGGUUGCGAAAGCCGCUACCUGUCCGGUAACUGACACUGAGGUGCGAGAGCGUGGGGAGCGAACACGAUUUUAUACCCUGGUAGUCCACUCUGUAAACACAUAGGCCCUUGGUGUUGGUGGCUAGUAGCCAUCGUUGCCGAAGCUAACGCGUUAAGCGCCCCGCCUGGGGAGUAUGGCCGCAAGGCUGAAACUCUUAUGAAUUGCCCCGGUCUUAUCUCUCUCCUG
rnacentral:rRNA from 1 species